rnacentral:lncRNA from 1 species
GGGUUCGGAUUCGGAGAACAAGUACUGAGAGGAAUUUAGAUCUGUUUUAGGAGUAGGUAACAACCAGGACGCGGCCUCGGCCUCCUCGGUGCUGACAUCAGCGUCGGCGUCGGAGAAGAAGCGGUGGUCGUCGAGAAAGUUGAUAGGCGAGGAGGCCUUGACGGAGUGUACAGACUCGUAGAAGGGCGUGACAGGGAGACGCUCGUGGCGGCUGGCGAGGGGGUUGGCGGAGUGGAUGUCACGGUCGCAGGCGAGGCAGAGCACGGCGGCGUCAGCCUUGCAGGUGACGUGCGCGGGCGCCUGCUCGCAUACCUCGCAGAGCGCAACGCGUGGGUGGCGCGAGGCGAGCUUGUUGGCAGCGUGGACCUUGGAAUCGCAGGCGCCGCAUAGGAAGGCGGCAUCGGGGCG